rnacentral:misc_RNA from 1 species
GAUGAAGAACGUAGCGAAAUGCGAUAAGUAAUGUGAAUUGUAGAAUUCAGUGAAUCAUCGAAUCUUUGAACGCACCUUGCACCCUUUGGCAUUCCGAAGGGUAUGCUCGUUUGAGUGUCAUUGUACUCUCACACUUCCGAUCUUUGGAUUGGGAGCGGUGGACUUGGGUGUUGCUGCUUACUGUGGCUCACCUCAAAUCGAUUCGUGCACCUCUUGGUUGGACAUAGUACGGCGUGAUAAGUGUCUUCGCCGGCACCUCAGUAGAGGGUGGCUGAUCGGGAGCUCUGCUUCAAACCGUCCUCGGACAACAACUGACAACUUGACCUCAAAUCGAGUAGGACUACCCGCUGAACUUAAGCAUAUCAAUAAGCGGAGGA